CUACGUGCCAGCAGCCGCGGUAAUACGGAGGAUACGAGCGUUAUCCGGAAUUAUUGGGUUUAAAGGGUGCGUAGGUGGCGUAUUAAGUCAGUGGUGAAAAGCUGCAGCUCAACUGUAGUCUUGCCGUUGAAACUGAUAUGCUAGAGAGGAGACGAGGUAUGCGGAAUGUGUGGUGUAGCGGUGAAAUGCAUAGAUAUCACACAGAACGCCGAUUGCGAAGGCAGCGUACCAGGCUCCGUCUGACACUGAAGCACGAAAGCGUGGGGAUCAAACAGGAUUAGAUACCCUGGUAGUCCACGCUGUAAACGUUGGGCACUAGGUGUGGGGGCCACCCGUGGUUUCUGCGCCGUAGCUAACGCUUUAAGUGCCCCGCCUGGGGAGUACGGCCGCAAGGCUAAAACUCAAAGGAAUUGACGGGGGCCCGCACAAGCGGCGGAGCAUGCGGAUUAAUUCGAUGCAACGCGAAGAACCUUACCAAGGCUUGACAUGC
rnacentral:rRNA from 1 species